rnacentral:rRNA from 1 species
GUGCCUACGGGACGCAGCAGUGAGGAAUAUUGGUCAAUGGGCGGUAGCCUGAACCAGCCAAGUAGCGUGAAGGAUGAAGGUUCUAUGGAUUGUAAACUUCUUUUAUAAAGGAAUAAAGUGAGGCACGUGUGCCUUUUUGUAUGUACUUUAUGAAUAAGGAUCGGCUAACUCCGUGCCAGCAGCCGCGGUAAUACGGAGGAUGCGAGCGUUAUCCGGAUUUAUUGGGUUUAAAGGGUGCGUAGGCGGAAUAUCAAGUCAGCGGUAAAAAUUCGGGGCUCAACCCCGUCGUGCCGUUGAAACUGAUG